rnacentral:pre_miRNA from 1 species
UAUGUACUCCCUCCGUUCCAAAUUACUCGUCGUUGAAAUGGAUGUAUCUAGAACUAAAAUACAUCUAGAUACAUCCAUACGUGCGACAAGUAAUUCAGAAUGGAGGGAGUAUGAC